rnacentral:rRNA from 1 species
AGAGUUUGAUCAUGGCUCAGAACGAACGUUAGCGGCGCGCCUAACACAUGCAAGUCGUGCGAGAAAGGGGAAACCCCGGUAAAGCGGCGCACGGGUGAGUAACACGUAGGUAAUGUACCCCCAGGUGGUGGAUAACCUUCCGAAAGGAGGGCUAAUACAGCAUGAGACCACGAGCUCGCAAGAGCUUGAGGUCAAAGUCG